GACGAACGCUGGCGGCGUGCCUAAUACAUGCAAGUAGAACGCUGAAGGGAGAGCUUGCUCUUCUGGAUGAGUUGCGAACGGGUGAGUAACGCGUAGGUAACCUGCCUGGUAGCGGGGGAUAACUUUUGGAAACGAUAGCUAAUACCGCAUAAUAGUAGAUGUUGCAUGACAUUUGCUUAAAAGGUGCAAUUGCAUCACUACCAGAUGGACCUGCGUUGUAUUAGCUAGUUGGUGGGGUAACGGCUCACCAAGGCGACGAUACAUAGCCGACCUGAGAGGGUGAUCGGCCACACUGGGACUGAGACACGGCCCAGACUCCUACGGGAGGCAGCAGUAGGGAAUCUUCGGCAAUGGACGGAAGUCUGACCGAGCAACGCCGCGUGAGUGAAGAAGGUUUUCGGAUCGUAAAGCUCUGUUGUAAGAGAAGAACGAGUGUGAGAGUGGAAAGUUCACACUGUG
rnacentral:rRNA from 1 species